CCUACGGGAGGCAGCAGUGAGGAAUAUUGGUCAAUGGGCGCGAGCCUGAACCAGCCAAGUCGCGUGAGGGAAGACGGUCCUAUGGAUUGUAAACCUCUUUUGUCGGGGAGCAAAAGACGCCACGCGUGGCGUUCCGAGAGUACCCGAAGAAAAAGCAUCGGCUAACUCCGUGCCAGCAGCCGCGGUAAUACGGAGGAUGCGAGCGUUAUCGGGAUUUAUUGGGGUUAAAGGGUGCGCAGGCGGAAGAUCAAGUCAGCGGUAAAAUUGAGAGGCUCAACCUCUUCGAGCCGUUGAAACUGGUUGUCUUGAGUGAGUGAGAGGGAUGCGGAAUGCGAGGUGUAGCGGUGAAAUGCAUAGAUAUCACGCAGAACUCCGAUUGCGAAGGCAGCAUACCGGCGCUCAACUGACGCUCAUGCACGAAAGUGUGGGUAUCGAACAGGAUUAGAUACCCUUGUAGUC
rnacentral:rRNA from 1 species